CACAUCGUGAUGCUUAUUUUAUCCAGGAGUUCUAGGUAAGACCACUUUUUCAAAUAUCCUCUGAACGUUGACUUAGGUGCACACACCUGUGCUUCCAUUGGCAACAAAAGCUUUGAAUGCACAGGACUUCCACGGCAUGAAAUGCAUUUACAUACAUUACAUAAGAGAGAAGCAAUGAGCAAGUCUGUUGCUGGGAGAGGCUCACAUCCUUCUCACCAAAUCAAUCUGUAACUUUCAAAUAGCUCUGCUGUAUUUCCUAGCAACAGGAGUAAACACUGUACUACAUCCAGUGCCCAAGAUUUGUAACCACGUUAAUCUGUUAGAAGCCUAGAUGUGUGACUGGAGAUGCCUCCUGUCCAUUCAAUCUGACUCCAAUGUGGUUCUGCAGCACUGGACAAAGAUGGGAGAUUGAAACAGGAGCCCCUGCGAUGGGGGAACAGAGCCAGGGAGCAGGGGUUGGACAGAACCCAGGUUUGAGAAAACAACCUUGUGAACCUUCUAUUGGAGCAGCAAUAAAGAUCUGAGCUAAGUGUCGAGGGAGGCUGAGGAGGUGGUCACUAAGUCUGUCUUAGGCAUCCCAGGGUCUCCUCAGAGUCCAAGCCUGAAGUCCACUGCAGGGGUCACCAGCCACCUGUGGCCACAUUGGAAUGUGGCCAUUCUGAAUUGAGCUUUUAAAACAGAUUUUUUAACCUGGAGUCCAAGGAGUCCCAGGAAAUCCACAGACGAGAUUCAAUGGAUCCUUGAAAUCCCUAAAAUUAAAUACAAAGCGGGGUAUGUGUGGACAUCUUUUCUCUUCAAGGAAAGAAUCCAUAGCUUUCAUAUGAUGCUCUUAAGACUCUCAGACUGAAAACAGUUUAAGAACUAUUGAGUUUCUGUGGCUUCCAAAGUGUUUAGCUCCUUCUAUUUAUCUAUGGAAUAGCUCUGUGAAUGACUCUCAAAACCAAGCUUUUCUGUGCCUCCUCAAGAGGCCUGCAUUUUAUAUGCAGCAGUACAACUUCCUUCCAUAAGACGCUUUUAUUUUCUGGCAGCAGCAGUAUCACAGGAAGAUGACUGGAAUUUAUAAGAUUGAUGACCAAAGAAGGCAGCUAUAAUGUUUUAUUCUCAAGAUGAUGGUUACUCAUCUUAGAAUAAAAACAACAACAACAAAAAAUAACAGAUGAAUGGGAAGAGCCCAAUCAAAGCUUUAUUCUACUCCUCAACAACUCAGGAGUUAAGCCUAAAGCUGCAGAUGAAAAUUUUGCCACCAUGAAGAAAAGAAGAAAUCAGAAUUGGAUUCUUUCUGAACUUUUCCUUUACAGUAGCCAGUAUAUGCCCUUUCCUACUUGAGCAAGUAUAAACUGGGUUUCUGUGAUUUGCAACCAAGUGUCCUGACAAACACAAGGAUGAAAGACAACUGUGUCUCAAUAAAGGAAAAAUAGUUUAUUUUUAUGAGUGGUGGAUUUAAAAAACCUACAUUACUGUGACAAGAGUACCUUAAAACAUUUAAGUCUACAAAAGGCACUUAGGGACUUUAUAGCAAACUCUACACUUAUAAUGAAAAGCCAGACCAGAUCAUUUUAAAAAAACGUUACUGCACGAGAUAAUGGCACAUCCACUCGUUCAAUUAACAUUUAUUGAGUGUCUUCAGGGGUUUUAGACUUGUGCAAUAAAAAUGAUAAAAACGUAUUCUUUGGUUUGAGCUGGUCCAUCCAAGGUCGUUCCAUAAAGAGCAGCUGUGUAUGCUGUUCAGACUAAUUGUGUGAAGCUGGAGAGGCCAGGUGUUUCUGUCUGGCCCAGCAGCUGCACUUUGCGGUAAGGGCACCACCUGAAUUUCAGUCUGGCCAUAAAAUGAGGCUGAAGAAACAGCACCUUGCAUGAGCUUUUAGGUGAAAGGCAGAACAG
rnacentral:lncRNA from 1 species